UGCAAGUCGAACGAUGAAGCCCAGCUUGCUGGGUGGAUUAGUGGCGAACGGGUGAGUAACACGUGAGUAACCUGCCCCCGACUCUGGGAUAAGCCCGGGAAACUGGGUCUAAUACCGGAUAUUACCUUUGACCGCAUGGUUGUUGGUGGAAAGAUUUAUCGGUGGGGGAUGGACUCGCGGCCUAUCAGCUUGUUGGUGAGGUAAUGGCUCACCAAGGCGACGACGGGUAGCCGGCCUGAGAGGGUGACCGGCCACACUGGGACUGAGACACGGCCCAGACUCCUACGGGAGGCAGCAGUGGGGAAUAUUGCACAAUGGGCGAAAGCCUGAUGCAGCGACGCCGCGUGAGGGAUGACGGCCUUCGGGUUGUAAACCUCUUUCAGUAGGGAAGAAGCGAAAGUGACGGUACCUGCAGAAGAAGCGCCGGCUAACUACGUGCCAGCAGCCGCGGUAAUACGUAGGGCGCAAGCGUUAUCCGGAUUUAUUGGGCGUAAAGAGCUCGUAGGCGGUUUGUCGCGUCUGCCGUGAAAGUCCGAGGCUCAACCUCGGAUCUGCGGUGGGUACGGGCAGACUAGAGUGAUGUAGGGGAGACUGGAAUUCCUGGUGUAGCGGUGAAAUGCGCAGAUAUCAGGAGGAACACCGAUGGCGAAGGCAGGUCUCUGGGCAUUUACUGACGCUGAGGAGCGAAAGCAUGGGGAGCGAACAGGAUUAGAUACCCUGGUAGUCCAUGCCGUAAACGUUGGGCACUAGGUGUGGGGGACAUUCCACGUUUUCCGCGCCGUAGCUAACGCAUUAAGUGCCCCGCCUGGGGAGUACGGCCGCAAGGCUAAAACUCAAAGGAAUUGACGGGGGCCCGCACAAGCGGCGGAGCAUGCGGAUUAAUUCGAUGCAACGCGAAGAACCUUACCAAGGCUUGACAUGUGCCAGACCGCCUCAGAGAUGGGGUUUCCCUUCGGGGCUGGUUCACAGGUGGUGCAUGGUUGUCGUCAGCUCGUGUCGUGAGAUGUUGGGUUAAGUCCCGCAACGAGCGCAACCCUCGUUCCAUGUUGCCAGCACGUAAAGGUGGGGACUCAUGGGAGACUGCCGGGGUCAACUCGGAGGAAGGUGGGGAUGACGUCAAAUCAUCAUGCCCCUUAUGUCUUGGGCUUCACGCAUGCUACAAUGGCCGGUACAAUGGGUUGCGAUACUGUGAGGUGGAGCUAAUCCCUAAAAGCCGGUCUCAGUUCGGAUUGGGGUCUGCAACUCGACCCCAUGAAGUCGGAGUCGCUAGUAAUCGCAGAUCAGCAACGCUGCGGUGAAUACGUUCCCGGGCCUUGUACACACCGCCCGUCAAGUCACGAAAGUUGGUAACACCCGAAGCCGAUGGCCUAACCACCUUGUGUGGGG
rnacentral:rRNA from 1 species